rnacentral:rRNA from 1 species
AACCAGCACCUCAAGUGGUCAGGAGGAUUAUUGGGCCCAAAGCAUCCGUAGCCGGCUCUGUAAGUUUUCGGUUAAAUCCAUGCGCUCAACGCAUGGGCUGUCGGAAAUACUGCAGAGCUAGGGAGUGGGAGAGGUAGACGGUACUCGGUAGGAAGGGGUAAAAUCCUUUGAUCUAUCGAUGACCACCUGUGGCGAAGGCGGUCUACCAGAACACGUUCGACGGUGAGGGAUGAAAGCUGGGGAGCGAACAGG